AUUGAACGCUGGCGGCAUGCCUUACACAUGCAAGUCGAACGGCAGCACGGGUGCUUGCCCCUGGUGGCGAGUGGCGAACGGGUGAGUAAUACAUCGGAACAUGUCCUGUAGUGGGGGAUAGCCCGGCGAAAGCCGGAUUAAUACCGCAUACGAUCUACGGAUGAAAGCGGGGGACCUUCGGGCCUCGCGCUAUAGGGUUGGCCGAUGGCUGAUUAGCUAGUUGGUGGGGUAAAGGCCUACCAAGGCGACGAUCAGUAGCUGGUCUGAGGGGACGACCAGCCACAGGGGGACGGGGACCCGGCCCAGACCCCGAGGGGGGGCAGCAGUGGGGAAUUGGGGAAAAGGGGCGAAAGCCGGAUCCAGCAAGGCCGCGUGUGGGAAGAAGGCCCUGGGGUUGGAAAGCCCUUUUGUCCGGAAAGAAAUCCUUGGCCCUAAUACGGUCGGGGGAUGACGGGACCGGAAGAAUAAGCACCGGCUAACGACG
rnacentral:rRNA from 1 species